UACGUAGGUGACCAGCGUUGUCCGGAUUUACUGGGCGUAAAGAGCGCGUAGGCGGUCGUUCAAGUCGAGUGUGAAAGCCCCCGGCUCAACUGGGGAGGGUCACUCGAUACUGAUCGACUUGAAGGCAGGAGAGGGAAGCGGAAUUCCCGGUGUAGUGGUGAAAUGCGUAGAUAUCGGGAGGAACACCAGUGGCGAAGGCGGCUUCCUGGCCUGUUCUUGACGCUGAGGCGCGAAAGCUAGGGGAGCAAACGGG
rnacentral:rRNA from 1 species